AUUGAACGCUGGCGGCAUGCUUUACACAUGCAAGUCGAGCGGCAGCGCGGGGCAACCUGGCGGCGAGCGGCGAACGGGUGAGUAAUGUAUCGGAACGUAUCCUUAAGUGGGGGACAACUAGUCGAAAGACUAGCUAAUACCGCAUACGAUCGAGAGAUGAAAGUGGGGGACCGCAAGGCCUCACGCUUUUGGAGCGGCCGAUAUCCGAUUAGCUUGUUGGUGAGGUAAAGGCUUACCAAGGCUAUGAUCGGUAGCUGGUCUGAGAGGAUGAUCAGCCACACUGGGACUGAGACACGGCCCAGACUCCUACGGGAGGCAGCAGUGGGGAAUUUUGGACAAUGGGGGCAACCCUGAUCCAGCCAUGCCGCGUGAGUGAAGAAGGCCCUCGGGUUGUAAAGCUCUUUUGUCCGGAAAGAAAAGCAAUCGGUUAAUACCCGGUUGUUCUGACGGUACCGGAAGAAUAAGCACCGGCUAACUUCGUGCCAGCAGCCGCGGUAAGG
rnacentral:rRNA from 1 species